rnacentral:tRNA from 1 species
GCCUUCGUGGUGUAGUGGUCAGCACGCUUGGCGCGUAUAGGAGAGGUCCGUGGUUCGAGUCCCGGCGAGGACA